AGGACUAUCCACAAACCAAGGAAGGAGGCCUGGAAUAGAUCCUUUCCUCACAGCCGUCACAAAGAAUCGAUACUGCCCACACUUUGAAUUUGGAUUUCAAGCCUCUGGAAGUUUCCAAUGCAGACCUUCUCUACCUAAACGAUGACUGCUUAUCUUCACAGGACAUAAACAGGACAAAAGACAUGAAUCUACACUCCUACUCCAAAUAAAAGAGUUUUGUAUUUCAUCAAUGAUAUUGACAUCCUUCCUGUUACAAAAGCCAAAAACUUGCUUUGGAUUUGUGUGUGCAUGUGUGACUUAUACACAAAUAACAUUUAAUUGGCAAAUUAAACAUGCCUGGCAUAUUCGAUUAAAUUCACUGCAAUACUCA